GACGAACGCUGGCGGCGUGCUUAACACAUGCAAGUCGAACGGAAAGGCCCUGCUUUUGUGGGGUGCUCGAGUGGCGAACGGGUGAGUAACACGUGAGUAACCUGCCCUUGACUUUGGGAUAACUUCAGGAAACUGGGGCUAAUACCGGAUAGGAGCUCCUGCUGCAUGGUGGGGGUUGGAAAGUUUCGGCGGUUGGGGAUGGACUCGCGGCUUAUCAGCUUGUUGGUGGGGUAGUGGCUUACCAAGGCUUUGACGGGUAGCCGGCCUGAGAGGGUGACCGGGCACAUGGGGGCUGAGAUACGGCCCAGACUCCCACGGGAGGCAGCAGUGGGGAAUAUUGCACGAUGGGCGGAAGCCUGAUGCAGCAACGCCGCGUGCGGGAUGACGGCCUUCGGGUAGUAAACCGCUUUCGCCUGUGACGCAGCGUGAGUGACGGUAAUGGGUAAAGAAGCACCGGCUAACUACGU
rnacentral:rRNA from 1 species